GGGCCUGGCAAGGAAGUGUUAACACGAGAAAUGGAGAUCUCCUAUUCCUGACUCCCUCCUGGAACCAGCACGUCACUCCAGGCCCCCAGAGGCAUUGGCCCUCCUGUGAAUUCAACCAAGCGUGGUGUCCCAUAGCAAAUAUGGAAAACGCCUGGAAAAAGCCACCAGAUGGUGCUUCUCCAUGCCAAGUAGGAAGCCAGGUGUGGUUCCCGUGUCUGCUCUCCGCAGCCCUCCUGGGAGGGUUUGAAGAGACAGCUGAGAGCGGCCAGCUGGGAAGAGCACGCUUGCCUUGUCAGCGGAGAGUGGGUUCUGAGCUCUGCUGAGUCAGCGUGGCGAGGCAGGGCUGGGGGGCCUCAGGGCUCCAGGCCCCACCUCUUACCUCUACAGUCUCCCACCCCGGCUGCCUGCCCCAGCGGGUCAAAAUGGCAGGUAACCCCCGGUGGAGAUAGGCACCUGUGAGAAGUAUCACUGCUUCGUGGGUCAGGGGCUUGGACCCACCAGGGCUGUGUCACCUGCGGACCAUGUGAACUCAAAUGGGGAAACUGAGGAUGAGAGAGGUUAACUUGCCCAAGUAUGGUUUCAUAGCCCUCCGUGACAGGAAGGUGGGAGAGCCAAAUGAAGACCGUCCCGGCCAUCUCUGGGCUCAGCUGCUCUUUGCGGCUUGACAGGGACCAGCUAUAUGAACUGCGGCCACCACUUUUCAUCAGCUCCCCCGGGAGGAGGCCCUCUGGGAGAAAAGACGCAGUUGCCUGGUGACUAAAGUGUUUCCCAGUCCUCCAAAAGUCAUGCUGUGUUAUUGGGGGGGAUAAAGCUUGCCCCCCAACGGGGUGCCCCUCUUCCAGGGCUCUAGACAAAAAAUCCAAUGAGCCCUGGCCAGACCCCAUGCAAAGCUGCAGACCUCAUUCUUGCUUCUUGCUUUGUUGACGCCUGCAGAGCCAUUGGUAGGUUUGAAUGAAAGCCAUGACGUCCCGGAACAGGCAGCGGCUGGCUUUGCGUGGAGGGCGCCCUGCGGUGUGCGCAUCAUUGCCAGAGGAGGGCAGAGCCUGGGCAGAUGGUGGGUGCCACUGCAGGGGCCCCCACAGAGACAUCUGUCCACCAAGAAUUUGGCUUUGCUGUAUCCCUUCGGGACCACAGUUGGGGACAGUCCUGGACUUGCUGAAGCUCAGCUUUAGGGAUGACAGAGUCUCUCCAGGGGCCCAUUCUGGUUUGAACAUUCCAUCUCUCUGUGGGCUCCAUCACGUCAGCCCUUGUUUACCCAUCUGCUUUGUCACUGCCCGUGUGUCUGUCUCCUCACCCCACCAGGAGUUCCUCAGGAGCGAAGGUGGCAUCUUAUUCCUGGCUGUGGCUCCAGGACCUAGCAAGAGCCCUGAACAUAGUAGGUGCUCAAUAAAUGUGCAAUGAAUAAAUGAUUGAACGAAUGC